rnacentral:lncRNA from 1 species
AAAGAAAGAGGAAAACUAUGGACCAGUCAAAGGAAAACAAAAACAAAGCCCCAAAGACACUGAAUCCAUAGAAACUAUCCCUUAAAAGGACUUGAUGGUGGUUCUACUAGACAAGGACUUUAAUGCUGCCUCAAAGAUGCUCAGAAACUAAAGGAAGAUGCAGCAAAAUGGAGAAAAAUGACUAUGACUCAAACGACAAUAUAUAUACAGAGAAAACCUAAAAAGAAACAAUGGGAGGUUCUGGAGUCGAGUGUAACCGAGAUGAAAAAUCCACUAGAGGAGUUCAAAGGCAGAUCUGAGCAGGUAGAAGACAGCACCAGGGCAUUUGAAGAUAGAAUGAUAGGAAUCAUCAAGUCUGGGGAGCAGGAAAAAAAAAGAAUGAAGAACAGUGAGCAGAGCUGGAGGAACCUGUUGGAUACUAUCCAGCACAACAGUUCAGGCACCAUGCAAGUUCCAAAGGAAGAGAAAGAGAAAAGAGCAGAAAGGCUAUGUGAAGAGGUGAUAUUAGAACAUUUCCAGCUUCGAGGAAAGACAGGACAUAAAUAUGUAUGAGGUUCAGGCUGGGAAUGUGGCUCAGUUGUAGAGUGCUUGCCUAGCAUGGGCAAAGUUCUGGGUUCAAUCCCCAGCACUGCCAAAUAUAUAUAUAAUGUAUGCAUGUGUUUAUAUACAUUUAUGUACUGUAUAUUUUUACAUAUCUGUGAAGUUCCAUAGCUCCAAAUUAGAUGAACCCAAAGACCCACACUGAGGCAAAUUAUAAUCAAACCUUCGAAAACAAAGACAAAGAGCAGCAAGAGUGAAGUGACUCACCACACACAAGGCAAUCCUCUCAAUGAGAUUGGCAGGUUUAUCAUCAGAGACUUUGGGGAACAGCAGGCAGCAGGCUGAUACACUCAAAGUGAUUAAAACAACAACCUCCACCUUGCAGGCAUCCUACUGCCUGGCAAAAACUGUCCUUCAAAAGUGAAAAAAAAAC